GUAGGUGGCAAGCGUUGUCCGGAAUUAUUGGGCGUAAAGCGCGCGCAGGUGGUUCUUUAAGUCUGAUGUGAAAGCCCCCGACUCAACCGGGGAGGGUCAUUGGAAACUGGGGAACUUGAGUGCAGGAGAGGAAAGUGGAAUUCCACGUGUAGCGGUGAAAUGCGUAGAUAUGUGGAGGAACACCAGUGGCGAAGGCGACUUUCUGGCCUGUAACUGACACUGAGGCGCGAAAGCGUGGGGAGCAAACAGGGAUUAGAUACCCUGGUAGUCCACGCCGUAAACGAUGAGUGCUAAGUGUUGGGGGGGUUUCCCGCCCCUCAGUGCUGCAGCUAACGCAUUAAGCACUCCGCCUGGGGAGUACGGUCGCAAGACUG
rnacentral:rRNA from 1 species